GGAAGCGUAGCUCAAUGGAUAGAGCACCACGUUGCGGACGUGGGGGUUGCGAGUUCGACUCUCGCCGCUUCCA
rfam:Microgenomates (Woesebacteria) bacterium GW2011_GWA1_37_7 TS53_C0022, whole genome shotgun sequence.